CCCCAGCUUAGGUGAGAACACCCACUGAGUUUAAGCAUAUAAUUAAGUGGAGGAAAAGAAACUUACAAGGAUUCCCCUAGUAAUGGCAAGCGAACUGGGAAGAGCCCAACAUGAAAAUUGGGUGGAAGCGUCGCCUGAAUUGUAGUCUGUAGAAGCAUCCUUAGCAGUUGACUGGGCUCAAGUCCCCUGGAAGGGGGCGCCUGAGAGGGUGAUAGACCUGUCUGGCCAGGACCCUGCCGCACCACGAGGUGUUUUCGGUGAGUAGGGUUGUUUGGGAAUGCAACCCUAAUUGGGUGGUAAAUUUUGUCCAAGGCAAAAUAUGGGCGAGAGACCGAUAGAGAACAAGUACCGUGAGGGAAAGAUGAAAAGGAAUUUGAAAAGAGAGUUAAAGAGUGCUUGAAAUUGCUGGGAGGGAAGUGGAUGGAGGUUGGCGAUGCAUCUCAGUCGGAUGCAAAAUGACUCAAGAUGGUCCGCUGCUCGACUCGAGGUGCGAGCCAGGACAUGCCGUUGCAUCGACACAAGCACGGGUGGAGUACUGUCUAUUGGUUUGUCAUUGUGGCGGUCGAGGAAUGAAGCGUGCACCCUUGGGGUGGGCCACUGUGCACUUGCACACUCGUGGUGUUGGUUGGAGGGCUUUCCAUUCGACCUGUCUUGAAACACAGACCAAGGAGUCUAACAUGUGUGCGAGUUGGUGGGUUUGUAAACCUGUGAGGUGUAAGGAAGCUGACGGGCAAGAACCCCUCUCCAUCGAGUGCAUUGUCGACCGACCUUGAGCUUUUGUGAAGGGUUCGAGUGCAAGCACACCUGUUGGGACCUGAAAGAUGGUGAACUAUGCCUGAGUAGGGUGAAGCCAGAGGAAACUCUGGUGGAGGCCCGUAGUGAUAAUGACGUGCAAAUCAUUCGUCUAACUUGGGUAUAGGGGAAAAAGACUAAUCGAACCAUCUAGUAGUUGGUUUCCUCCGAAGUUUCACUCAGAAUAGAUGGAUCUCAUGUGUGAGUUUUAUUGGGUAAAGAAAAUGAUUAGAGGCAUUGGGGGCGUAACGCCCUCGACCUAUUCUCAAACUUUAAAUCGGUAAGAUAGUGCGGUUGCUCCAUUGAGCCGUUCCACGAAAUCGAGAGCUCCAAGUGGGCCAUUUUUGGUAAGCAGAACUGGCGAUGUGGGAUGAAUCGAAAUUUGAGCUACGGUGCCAAACUGAACGCUAACCCAGAUCCCACAAAGGGUGUUGGUUGAUUAAGACAGUAGGAUGGUGGUCAUGGAAGUCGAAAUCCGCUAAGGAGUGUGUAACAACUCACCUGUCGAAUCAACUAGCCCCGAAAAUGGAUGGCGCUAAAGCGCAUGACCUAUACUCAACCAUCGCAGCAAUUUCUAAGAUUCGAUGAGUAGGAGGACGCGAGGGUCAUUGAGAAACCUUAGGCGUGAGCCUGGGUGGACCGGUCCCCAGUGCAGAUCUUGGUGGUAGUAGCAAAUAUUCAAAUGAGAACUUUGAAGACUAAAGUGGGGAAAGGUUCCAUGUGAAUAGCACUUGGACAUGGGUUAGUCGAUCCUAAGAGAUGGGGAAUCCAUGUAUCAAGGGUGCACUCUGCACAAACAUCUAAAGGGAAUCAGGUUAAUAUUCCCAAACUAAGACAUGGUAGUGGACGACAACGUUAGGAAAUCUGGAGACGUCAUUGGGGGCCCUGGGAAGAGUUAUAUUUUCUUUUUAACAGCUUGCCCACCCUGAAAUUGGCUCAACCAGAGAGAGGGUCUAGUAGCUGGAAGAGAAUCACACAUCUUGUGGUGUCCAGUGCACCCUCGGUGGCUCUUGAAAAUCUGGAGGAACGAAUACCGUCCAUGCCCGGUCAUACUCAUAACUGCAUCAAGUCUCCAAGGUGAACAACCUCUGGUCAGUAGAAUAAUGUAGGUAAGGGAAGUCGAAAAAAUGGAUCCGUAACUUCGGGAAAAGGAUUGGCUCUGAGGGCUGGGCCUAGGGGACUGCAUCCUCAACUUGUGGGUUGUUGGCAGUCUGCCCGAGCUACUAUUGUGGCGAGGGCGGGAAGUCGUGUGUCGAUUGGGCUACAAACAUAGAAUGUCCCCUCGCGAGGGAUUUUCCCUAGGCAGCGAACAAUCGAUUCAAAACUAGUACAGACAAGAGGAAUCUGACUGUUUAAUUAAAACAAAGCAUUGCGAUGGUCCCUGUGGAUGCUGACGCAAUGUGAUUUCUUCCCAGUGCUUUGAAUGUCAAAGUGAAUAAAUUCAACCAAGCGCGGGUAAACGGUGGGAGUAACUAUGACUCUAUUAAGGUAGCCAAAUGCCUUGCCAUCUAAUUAGUGACGUGCAUGAAUGGAUUAAUGAGAUUCCCAUUGUCCCUAUCUACUAUCUAGAGAAACCAUAACCAAGGGAACGAGCUUGGCAGAAUCAGCGGGGAAAGAAGACCUUGUUGAGCUUCAAUCUAGUCCGACUUUUUGAAAUGACUUGAGAGGUCUAGAAUAAGUGGGAGUCAUUUUCGGCGCAAGUGAAAUACCACUACUUUUAACGUUAUUUUACUUAUUUUGUGGGGCGGAUAUGGGGCAUUGCCCCUAUUUUUGGACUUAAGACACGUUUCGACGAGUCGAUCCAGGCGGAAGACAUUGUCAGGUGGGGAGUUUGGCUGGGGCGACACAUCUGUUAAAAGAUAACGCAUGUGUCCUAAGAUGAGCUCAAUGAGAAUAGAAAUCUCGUGUAGAACAAAAGGGUAAAAGCUCAUUUGAUUUUGAUUUUCAGUAUAAAUACAAACCGUGAAAGCGUGGCCUAUCGAUCCUUUAGAAUUUUGAAAUUUGAAGCUAGAGGUGUCAGAAAAGUUACCACAGGGAUAAUUGGCUUGUGGUAGCCAAGCAUUCAUAGCGACGUUGUUUUUUGAUCCUUCGAUGUCGACUCUUCCUAUUAUUGUGAAGCAGAAUUCACCAAGUGUUGGAUUGCUCACCCACUAAUAGGGAACGUGAGUUGGGUUUAGACCGUCGUGAGACAGGUUAGUUUUACCCUACUGAUGAACCGUGCCGCAAUAGUAAUUCAACUUAGUAUGAGAGGAACCGUUGAUUCACACAAUUGGUCAUCGCGCUUGGUUGAAAAUCCAGUGGUGCGAAGCUACCGUGUGUUGGAUUAUGACUGAAUGCCUCUAAGUCAGAAUCCACGCUAGAAGUGGCGCUUGUCACUCCUCGAUUGUAUCUUGACCCGUAGUAGGGGUGUCACUUCGGCACCCCCAGGGGCCCAUGUCACUUGCGAACCUUGUUCAGGAAGCAUCUCGGUCAGGGAAGCUUUGAAGUUCAAUUUCAAACGGUCGUUGAGAAGAAUCCUUUGCAGACGACUUAAAUACAUGAUGGGGUAUUGUAAGUGGCAGAGUGGCCCUGCUGCCACAAUCCACUAAGAUUCAUC
rnacentral:rRNA from 1 species